rnacentral:rRNA from 1 species
GACGAACGCUGGCGGCGUGCUUAACACAUGCAAGUCGAACGGAAAGGCCCUGCUUUUGUGGGGUGCUCGAGUGGCGCACGGGUGAGUAACACGUGAGUAACCUGCCCUUGACUUUGGGAUAACUUCAGGAAACUGGGGCUAAUACCGGAUAGGAGCUCCUGCUGCAUGGUGGGGGUUGGAAAGUUUCGGCGGUUGGGGAUGGACUCGCGGCUUAUCAGCUUGUUGGUGGGGUAGUGGCUUACCAAGGCUUUGACGGGUAGCCGGCCUGAGAGGGUGACCGGCCACAUUGGGACUGAGAGACGGCCCAGACUCCUACGGGAGGCAGCAGUGGGGAAUAUUGCACAAUGGGCGGAAGCCUGAGGCAGCAACGCCGCGUGCGGGAUGACGGCCUUCGGGUUGUAAACCGCUUUCGCCUGUGACGAAGCGUGAGUGACGGUAAUGGGUAAAGAAGCACCGGCUAACUACGUG